rnacentral:lncRNA from 1 species
GUGAGGGGGUGGGAGGCGGGGGGCUUCACAAACUAAUGUGCUGCUGGCCUGUGAGUCAAACUUCAGGCUUUGGAAAGUUCAGUUUUGCUUCAACUAUGCAGGAAAGAAAAUGGGCUUCCUCAUCGAGACCAGGAGCUGCUCCUGCCACAGUCUGGUUCUUCAUCUUUAACCCUUCAACACUCCAGCUCAAAUGGACUUGGGCAAAGAAUCAAAGUCGGGAUUGAAGCCGAGACUGCAGCUUACAGCUCAAGCUGUCAAGGGGGCUACCAGUCUGGAAGCCGUCCAUGUCCCCCGCCCCAUGCCACCUCAGCAGCAGAGCUGAAUGUGAGCUAUGGCAUAUCCUGUCUUUCCAGAUCUACAAGUGUGACUGGGAUUUUUUUUAAAAAGUGACUUACGGUGUGGCUAUCAAUACUACUCAACAGUUUUCAGAAAACUUGCGGCUGCUGUCUCAAACCAGACUAGACGAAGAUGCUUCAGGAGUCCUAGGAA